UACGUAGGGUCCGAGCGUUGUCCGGAAUCAUUGGGCGUAAAGAGCGUGUAGGCGGCUUGGUAGGUCCCGUGUUAAAGCCUGCGGCUCAACCGCAGAAUCGCACGGGAAACCCCCUGGCUAGAGUCCGGAAGAGGAGAGCGGAAUUCCUGGUGUAGCGGUGAAAUGCGCAGAUAUCAGGAAGAACACCCGUGGCGAAGGCGGCUCUCUGGGACGGUACUGACGCUGAGACGCGAAAGCGUGGGGAGCGAACAGG
rnacentral:rRNA from 1 species